UGAAUUUUGAUGUUUUCUUCCUGGAUAGGAAUAAGUUCGGCGGUUUAAAAAUAAAUGUGACCGGAAGUGAUGACAGUGACAUCCCAUAAUGUCAUGUAAACAAUCCACAGUUCUUCGACGGGUGCCAUUGCCAUCACGCACCAUUUUCUGCCGGCUCUUUCUGUACACCUCAAUAACCAUUACCAGUUAUCACAUUGCCCACAUGUAACCGUGGCAGCUAACAUACGUCGACGUGAAAUGGUCCUUCAGGUCUUCGUUGCCAAAUACAGUACAUAAGACUACCUCAGCUGUUAUUUCUGUAAUAUUUGAGAUAUUGCUCGAAGGUACGACUACACACAAAGGCGGCAGAAUGGAAUGUAAAGAAAAUUAAGGGGUUUUAUUAGGUCUCUUUUUGAACUUAUCGACUCCCACAGUCGUCACAUCCAACCAUUUCGCUGUCAUUUUUAACUUCCCCACUAAACUGUCAACCAAUUUCUGUGCAGCAGAUGUGUCGCCGAUAUAUGAAGAUGAAGUCUUUCUGUGACCGACUCCUUUGACCCUUUUGGAACUCGAACCAAGUUGAGAUUGUUACUGUCAGUAAAUCCUUCCAGAACUCAUACCAUCAAGAAGAUAACAAAGAACUGAGGUAGCAAUGCAAGUGUAUUCCAAACAGGAGGCUGUAAGAGCAUCAGGGAUAACCUUUCCACCCACUUUCCCAGGCUUGUAUCAGGCAGAUGGAAUUUCAAAAACCAGAUUUUCUACAGCCAGGAUGCCUGUUGCCAACACUCAUUUCUAUUCCGUGCAAUAUUUUCCCAAGCCUGGAUACAAAGGACAUGCUUUUAAGAUGGUGACAAUCGUUUGUCACUCUUACACGAAGGCAACGGGACACAAACACCCGCCACACCCAUAAGAUGGGCUUCCACACAAGUUUCCGUCAACCGAAUCCACUCACAAGGUUUUGCUCAACCUAAAACUAUAGUAGAAGACACUUGGCCAAGGUGCCAUGCAGUAGGACUGAGAUUAGACGGAACAAGUUCUUACCUAUCGUAAUC
rnacentral:lncRNA from 1 species